CACCAGCGAGGUUCACACUUCUACGCAGUGCUGGUGACCAGUAUCCAAUUCCAGCUUAUGACGGAUUGGAGAAGCCAAGAUGAAC
rnacentral:ribozyme from 1 species